CAGUGCUCACGCAGGAGCAGAUGAAUUUCAGGUGCUACAGAAGGGCUGUGCCUUGCUGCCUCCUAGCAGGUAAUGAAUUAAUUUACCAGUGAGGAGUUAAAACCACUGGGCCUGACCACCCUGCUUAGAUCAAGUGAAUGGGAUUUGCUGAAGAUGUUUAGGUGGAAGAACUGACUGUGCACAGAUUCAGUGACUUGCUGAUGGCUGUGCAGCACAUCUGCCAGAGAACAUCUUCUGUCCAUAGCCCCUGACUACAGUCCAGUGGGCUUCUUAACUGCAACGUUAAGGCAAAAUCCUUGACUUCACCUGUAAUUUAUUGACCCCUGAUGAAGCCUGAUGGGACUUCCACUGAAAGGGAAUCACAAAACAUUCUGCAGCAAUUGGAAUAAGCCAUAAGGAAAACACCAGUAAAAUGAAGUGCAUGAUGGAAGAAAAUAACAGGAUCUCAAGGUCACAACUGAUGUAAAUUCUCCUUCUAAUAUUAUCUCUCAUUCACAAGUGGAAGAACUGACUGUGCACAGGUUCAGUGACUUGCUAAAGGCUGUGCAGCACAUCUGCCAGAGAACAUCCUCUGUCCACAGCCACUGACUAUAGCCCAAUGAG